GUGAAUCAUCAAAUCUUUGAACGCAAAUUGCACUUUCUGGUAUUCCGGAAAGUAUGCCUGUUCGAGGGUCAGUUAAAUAAAAAUCGGUGUUUUUGCUUCCUUUCGUGGUGACGCGUCGGAAUUGGGUCGUCUUACCUUCGGUUAAGUGACUUAAAAUGUUUGCAUGAUAUUCGAACGUAUUUAAAUCGCUUACGUACGUUUGAGAUAUCGAAUGCUCAUUAGGUUCGUUCAUUCCCAUGAGGCGCGCCUAUA
rnacentral:misc_RNA from 1 species